UGGGGAAUAUUGCACAAUGGAGGGAACUCUGAUGCAGCGACGCCGCGUGAACGAAGAAGGCUUUCGAGUCGUAAAGUUCUUUUAUAUGGGAAGAUAAUGACGGUACCAUAAGAAGAAGCCCCGGCUAACUACGUGCCAGCAGCCGCGGUAAUACGUAGGGGGCUAGCGUUGUCCGGAAUCACUGGGCGUAAAGGGUUCGCAGGCGGAAAUGCAAGUCAGGUGUAAAAGGCAGUAGCUUAACUACUGUAAGCAUUUGAAACUGCAUAUCUUGAGAAGGGUAGAGGUAAGUGGAAUUUUUAGUGUAGCGGUGAAAUGCGUAGAUAGUAAAAAGAAUACCGGUGGCGAAGGCGACUGACUGGGCUCAUUCUGACGCUGAGGAACGAAAGCGUGGGUAGCAAACAGG
rnacentral:rRNA from 1 species